rnacentral:rRNA from 1 species
UACAGAGGUCUCGAGCGUUGUUCGGAUUCAUUGGGCGUAAAGGGUGCGUAGGUGGCUAGGUAAGUCGGAUGUGAAAUCCCGGGGCUCAACCCCGGAACUGCAUUCGAUACUGCCUUGCUCGAGUAUGGGAGAGGGAAGUGGAAUUUCCGGUGUAGCGGUGAAAUGCGUAGAUAUCGGAAGGAACAUCAGUGGCGAAGGCGACUUCCUGGACCAAUACUGACGCUCAGGUGCGAAAGCGUGGGGAGCAAACAGG